rnacentral:rRNA from 1 species
AUGAGGAGGAGAUCGAAUCCUGCCCCGUAUGCAACGCUGCUCUCGGGAUUGCUCCUGAAGAGAAAACUCAGAGACGGAACUAUGGAGGUGGCCUCCAUCCUAAAGCUCAUUAUUCAAAAACUUGAGCUAGCAAGUAACGUUAUGGUGGAGAUCUUAUGCCAUGACAGGUCAGUCUGCCCCUCGACAACACUGCAGGGCCUCCUCAAGCGAUGGCUGAGCCGCAAACCGAAGGACAAAGUCCAGAGGCCGGUGGGGGCUCCGGCGGAUGAGUUCGUUAUUGCACUACCGGCACCUCCAAAAUGA